rnacentral:rRNA from 1 species
UGGGGAAUCUUGCACAAUGGGGGAAACCCUGAUGCAGCGAUGCCGCGUGAGUGAAGAAGGCCCUUGGGUUGUAAAGCUCUUUCGUCGGGGAAGAUAAUGACUGUACCCGAAUAAGAAGGUCCGGCUAACUUCGUGCCAGCAGCCGCGGUAAUACGAAGGGACCUAGCGUAGUUCGGAAUUACUGGGCUUAAAGAGCACGUAGGUGGUUAAGAAAGUUGGUGGUGAAAUCCCAAGGCUUAACCUUGGAACUGCCACCAAAACUUUUUAACUAGAGUAUGAUUGAGGUAAGCGGAAUUUCUAGUGUAGAGGUGAAAUUCGUAGAUAUUAGAAAGAACACCAAUUGCGAAGGCAGCUUUCUGGAUCAUUACUGACACUGAGGUGCGAAAGCAUGGGUAGCGAAGAGG